UGGGGAAUAUUGCGCAAUGGGGGAAACCCUGACGCAGCAACGCCGCGUGAUUGAAGAAGGCCCUCGGGUUGUAAAGAUCUUUAAUCGGGGACGAAUUUUGACGGUACCCGAAGAAUAAGCUCCGGCUAACUACGUGCC
rnacentral:rRNA from 1 species